CUAACAAACCAUUUGCUUCUAAUUAAUUAAUUACUUAAUUAAUACAUCCUAAAAGUCAACCGCACAAUCAUCCUAUACUCUCUAUUAUUGAAGCCCCCUUCUUUCUACCAUAAACAUAACAUAUAACCACCUACUGUUAUUGCAAUAUAUAUAUAUAUAUAUAUACUACUAGCUAGACUAGGGAAAAGAGCGGAAGAAAAUAACACCAAUUAAGUACUUUUUUCUCUUCUCCUCUCCCAUACCCUUAGCAAUUCCUCCCCCUUGUCUCAAAACACGCAACAUGAUUGAUUGUAUACUAUAUAGGUUUAGCAACACCUAAAAAUCAAUCAAAUAAGACCUUCCCAUAUACCCUCUAACCCUCCUCCUCCUUAGUUAUCAACUAACUGGUUAAUUAUGGCAAUUUAUACAUGUAGUUUCCCCCUGAUUCUGAUGAUCCCAAAAGGUCAGAAUUAUAAGAUCACGAGAUCUACUGCGAUUCGCACGAGACAUGUACAGGUUUUACGCGCUUUGGUUCCUCUCAAAAAAUUCAGCAUGGUGAGCAAGAUUUUUGAGGAUGGAGAGCAGGGGAUGGUGUGUUACAGAGACGAGGAAGGCGAAUUAAUCUGCGAAGGAUACGACGAAGGGCCGCGUUACGAGGAGCGAUCGCCCGAAGCAUACUGCAAAAGCUCACUUAAUUGCAGCUGAAAUUUAUGCAGCCGCAGCAGACAAGCUGAGGCGAAUUGUGACUCCGUCCGACUGGCGAGGCUUCAGAUAUUCGGAGAAGACGUCGACGUCUGCCGACUCGUGCGAAAGCAAGAAGAAAUGAUCUAAGAUCAGUAAGCUUUGAUGUCGGCAGCUCUACAUUACAUAUCAUCAGCAUCAAGCAAUAGACAGACUGAGUUAGUUAGUCUCAUCGAGACACACACUUUCUGUAAAUAGCCAACUAGUUAAAAAAGUUUUUAUCCAUCUAAUUUUUCUCCUCUUAAGCUGCAAAUAUUUUCAAUUCCUAUUUCCACUGCUCAGAAUUUGUACUCACUUUGUCUUUAUUUGGAUUUGGUUGUCAGAGUGGCCUAGAUAAUUUGUAAAUAAGAUUUUCAUGAAUUGGUAUUAAUUUUAAAAAA